CCUACGGGAGGCAGCAGUGGGGGAUAUUGCACAAUGGGGGGAACCCUGAUGCAGCGACGCCGCGUGGGUGAAGGAGCGUUUCGGCGCGUAAAGCCCUAUCGGCAGGGAAGAAGAAGGAGGGUACCUGACUAAGAAGCCCCGGCCAACUACGAGCCAGCAGCCGAGGUAAGAGGUAGGGGGCAAGCGUUAUCCGGAUUUACUGGGUGUAAAGGGGGCGCAGACGGCAGUGGAAGCCAGGGGUGAAAGCCCGGGGCCCAACCCCGGGACUGCUCUUGGAACUGCGCGGCUGGAGUGCAGGAGGAGCAGGCGGAAUGCCUGGUGUAGCGGUGAAAUGCGUAGAUAUCAGGAGGAACACCGGUGGCGAAGGCGGCCUGCUGGACUGCGACUGACGUUGAGGCCCGAAAGCGUGGGGAGCAAACAGGAUUAGAUACCCGAGUAGUC
rnacentral:rRNA from 1 species